AAUGAUAUAAGCUAUUUCUACACUUCUAAAUGCAUCCACCCAAGGGAAUGAUUCCUGGCUCCAAAGUGGUGCAGAUUGCAUCCACAUACCCUGUUUAAGGCUGGAUAUCCACAGAACAGCACUUCUUUGCAGCAGAGAGAGUUCUCUGCAGCUCUUUCUGUGGGCAGAGAGCAUGAGUAGAUGGUCUCCACUCAACCUUGCUAAGAUCCCCUGGGCUGCUUUACUGUGUCACAUAACACAACAGUCUGGCCUUAGCAGGGUCAACAUCCUUAUCUUCUUGUAUGUCUCCUUAUCUGUGCUCCUGCACUCCUCCCCAUCUGUGGCAGAGAUGAUCUUUGGAAUUUCUGCAUCUUCCCACACAGUUAUUCAUUCCCAGAACUCCACCUUUUCCUCUGCUUUUUCUUUCCAAUUUUAAAACCAUAAAUUACUUCAAAUUUCUCUGAUGCUGCCUUGUGGAGGUGGUGGACUUUUUGAUUCAUAUUGGACUAAGUUAUUUUGAAAGCAAGAAGAGGAGACUGUUGAAAACAGGAAAUCUUCAUGAAAGAAAUGGCAGUAGUUGUAACAAUAUAUUCAAAAUUCCUAGUGUGAUAGACUUGCAGCAAGCUAAUGGAAAUUAUCCUCUUUUGGGUGGGAUGGAAUAAAACUAAUUGAAUUGAUUAUCGCGGUAUACGA
rnacentral:lncRNA from 1 species